AAAUUGAAGAGUUUGAUCAUGGCUCAGAUUGAACGCUGGCGGCAGGCCUAACACAUGCAAGUCGAGCGGAAACGAGUUAUCUGAACCUUCGGGGAACGAUAACGGCGUCGAGCGGCGGACGGGUGAGUAAUGCCUAGGAAAUUGCCCUGAUGUGGGGGAUAACCAUUGGAAACGAUGGCUAAUACCGCAUGAUGCCUACGGGCCAAAGAGGGGGACCUUCGGGCCUCUCGCGUCAGGAUAUGCCUAGGUGGGAUUAGCUAGUUGGUGAGGUAAGGGCUCACCAAGGCGACGAUCCCUAGCUGGUCUGAGAGGAUGAUCAGCCACACUGGAACUGAGACACGGUCCAGACUCCUACGGGAGGCAGCAGUGGGGAAUAUUGCACAAUGGGCGCAAGCCUGAUGCAGCCAUGCCGCGUGUGUGAAGAAGGCCUUCGGGUUGUAAAGCACUUUCAGUCGUGAGGAAGGCGGUGUAGUUAAUAGCUGCAUC
rnacentral:rRNA from 1 species